GGACGUGGCGAUAGAGCGUUGAAUGCACCAGUUCCCAAUAGAUCACUGAAGUUAAGCAACGUAGUGGUGGAUAUCCGGAUGGAUGACCAUCUGGGCAAUCGCGUGCUGCUAGCU
rnacentral:rRNA from 1 species